AGGGCACCACCAGGAGUGGAGCCUGCGGCUUAAUUUGACUCAACACGGGAAAACUCACCCGGCCCGGACACUGGAAGGAUUGACAGAUUGAGAGCUCUUUCUUGAUUCAGUGGGUGGUGGUGCAUGGCCGUUCUUAGUUGGUGGAGUGAUUCGUCUGGUUAAUUCCGAUAACGAACGAGACCUUAUCCUACUAAAUAUGUGGUCAAGUUUACAAACACUUGAUCUCACUUCUUAGAGGGACAGGCGGUGAUUCAACCGCACGAAACAAGGCAAUAACAGGUCUGUGAUGCCCUUAGAUGUCCGGGGCCGCACGCGCGCUACACUGAAGUGAUCAGCGUGCUUUGCUAUGCCUACUCUGACAAGAGUGGGAAACCCCAUGAACCUUCUUCGUGAUUGGGAUAGGAGAUUGUAAUUAUUCUCCUUGAACGAGGAAUUCCCAGUAAGCGCGAGUCAUAAGCUCGCGUUGAUUACGUCCCUGCCCUUUGUACACACCGCCCGUCGCUACUACCGAUUGAAUGU
rnacentral:rRNA from 1 species